UUCAAUAAACAACUAGACUUCGUAACGUUUGGUAAAGUUUAAUGUUCGAACGAUGAGUACAAUAAGAUGGUCAGCAAACAAAUGAUUAAAUUAUAGUUAUAAAGUUUUGUAAAUGUUUUUCAUGUUGCUAUGUAUCAAAUUAAAUCAAUAAAUGAGAAGAAUGAAAUUAGUUGGUGAAUGAAUGAAAUGAAGUUAGUAGUGCUGAAGUUGGUAGUACUGAAGUUGUCGCUGUACGCCACAGCACUCCCCUCCCAGCGAUGUUCUACGUUGCGAAUUUAACUUUCUUCUUAGGGCCAGAAUAAGUUUUAAAUUGUUUACCCGAAGAAGUCGAAGUAGAUGAAUCAGAAGAAAUAGAAGGUGUCGUAAACACCAAAGUGCCGGUGUCUAUUUCUUUUGGAAGGAAGGCUGGUUUAAGACGUUCGGUAGUGAUAUUUACAGUUUUACCUAAAAUAUCAAUCGUGAAAAGAUAAUCAUUAAUUUUUUCAACAACACGAAAAGGACCAGAAUAAGGAAGUUGAAAAGAUUUUCUAACAGUAUCAUCUUUAACCCAAACGAUCAGAAGGAAGAUUUUCAAUGAAAAAUUCUACAGGAAUUUUUAGUGAUCCAUAAAGCAUUUCCGCUGGAGAUGCAUUUAAAUCUUCUUUGAAGCAAGUGCGAAGUCCAAAUAGAACGAAUGCCAUUGGAAACUGGAUGAUAAGCUGAAGUUCUUAUUCGCUCGUAACCUAUAAGGUUGGUAAGAGCUUUAAAUAAUGCAGCUUCAAACUGAGGACCUUGAUCGGUUGUAAUUGUUUGGGAGGCACCAUAUUUCGCAACCCAAUGUACAUAGAAAGCUGAGGAAAUAGUUUCCGUAGAGAUUUCUAUCAAAAGAAUCGGGAAAAUCUGGAAAAUCUGUCAAUCAUGGUUAAACAAUAACAAAAAUUUUGACAAAUAGGAACAGGCCCAAUUAAGAUGAAUAUGUUGAAAACGUUGAUCUGGAACAACAAUUUUCUGUGGAAGAUUUUUAGUGUAUUUCUGAACUUUAGCACGUUGACAAGAUAACCAAGAUCUUGCUCAUUCUUUGAUAUCCUUCUUCAUGAUUAGCCAAAUAUAUUUCUGUUGUAUUAAUUUACAGGUAGAACGACAACUUGGGUGAGAUAAACCAUGAACAACAUUAAAUAUUUUUCUACGAAGUUGUUGAGGUACAUAAGGACGAAUAUUGACAGUAGAACAGUCACAGAAAAUGGAUGUAGUAGAACCAGAAAAGAAACUAUCAUUGGCAUCGAAAUGGAUUCGAUUCUUGAAAGGGAAUCUACAACUACAUUUUGUUUGCCAGAAAUAUGCUCAAAAUUAGUUGAAAAUUGAGCAAUGAAAUCAAGAUGUCGAAUCUGUCUGGGAGAUGCUUUAUCUAAUUUCUGUUGAAAAGCAUAAAUUAGAGGUUUAUGAUCUGUCCGAAUGAGAAUUUGGCGUACUUCAAGCUUAUAUUUAAAAUGUUUAAUUGCUAGAUAAAUAGAGAGAAAGAAGUUCUCGAUCAUGCACCUACUGCAAAAUUUGAUGCGUCACAAGUAAGGAUGAGAGGUACAUUCGAAGCAGGAUGUGCUAAAGUGGAAACCCAUAAAAGUUCUUCCUUACAAUUCUUGAAGGUUUCAUCCGCUUCAGAAGUCCAGAUGUUGGCUUAAUUCCUUGCUUAGUGACUAAAUAACCAAGGAAAGGAAUUUCAUGUUUGCCAAAGAGGCAUUUGGACAAAUUAAUAGUCAUGCCAAAUUGUUUGAGAUGAUUAAAAACAAUGUGAAGAUGUCUAGAAUGCUCUUUCUCGUCCUCAGAAGCAAUUAAUAUGUCAUCAAGAUAGCAAAAACAAAAAUCAAGUUCUGAUAGUAUAAUAUUCAUGAGACGUUGAAAAGUUUGAGCAGCAUUACGCAAACCAAAAGGCAGGAAUUCAAAGAGGCCAAAAGUGAAAUCUUGUAUAGGGGGAAGUUGAUAUCGAUCAGGAAUAGUGGCUGCGUUCAAAGCUCGAUAAUCUCCACAAAGUCUCCAUGAAUUCUGUCCAUUUUUGAGAACCAUAUGAAGUGGAGUUGCCCAUGUACUGUUUGACGGUCGACAAAUUCUUUGUUCUACCAUGAGGUUGAAUUCAUCCCUUGCAAAUUUCAAUUUUUCUGGAGACAGUCUACGAGGUGUCGAAGCAAUCGGACCUUUAGUAAUAAUAUGAUGUUCUACAUGAUGAAUCUUGAUUGUAAAAAUAGGAGCAAAACGAGUUAAUUCAGAGAAAUCAGCGAGAAUCUUAUAAAAAGAAACCAAAGAAAUGUCAGCUCCUGUAUCGAUUAAAAAAUUAAGUCUUGAGAACUUGUCAAAAAUAAUGAGACGAUUGGUAGGUGAACCGUUGUCAGCCGCCUCACAACUCAACGGUGGAGUUAGUUUUCUUGAUUAUCAAUUAGAGAUUUAGACAUGUCACAAGAUCUACUACGUGGGCGUUUAAUUUCAAGUGCAGCAAUUCUUCGUUUGAGAUAUGCCAAAUUUGAAGUAUUUUCUUUAACUGGGGAAGCUAUUGAUGCUACUUACAGGCUAGUUUCGCGAUUCAUAAUUUUAUCGGUUCAGCCAGUUUAAAGAACAAUCUUCAACAACAGCUAAAAUGGAUUUUCGAUUAUCUCCGCAAUUGCUAAUAAUGCUUGCACAUCAAGAUGCUGAACAACUGAGCUAUAUUUAACGUCGUCUGAGCGAAUUCGAAAGAUUGUAAAUUCACUUUCUAAUCCAGCAAACCACAAUUUAGGCUGUUUAUGCCAAAAAUUCGGUAAUUUGAAAAAAAACGAAAUUUAUUUGAAUGGAUCUCGUUUGGCUGACCUUAUUGAUGAGGCUCACUACCGGUAUGACGAAGAGUUUCCAAAUUAUUUGUUACGUGUUGCUGGAAUUCCUCUAAUGGAAUUGACGCUAAAGUUCCUGGAGUAGCAAUCGGAGAUCUGUCUAAAGGCAUCGAUUUUUUCUUGAUAUGAAAGUUUCCGAAGUCGGUGGUUUAAGUUCACCCGUGCGGGUACACAAAAUAUUUUCACAAUCUUGUAUCACGUCGAGGUCACCAGUUGUGGUGCGGAUUCAAUAAACAACUAGACUUCGUAACGUUUGAUAAAGUUUAAUGUUCGAACGAUGCGUACAAUAAGAUGGUCAGCAAACGAAUGAAUAAAUGUUAUAAAGUUUUGUAAAUGUUUUCCAUGUUGCUAUGUAUCAAAUUAAAUCAAUAAAUGAGAUGAAUGAAAUUAGUUGGCGAAUGAAUGAAAUGAAGUUGGUAGUACUGAAGUUGUCGCUGUACGCCACACCGAGCAAGAUAGUUGAUGUCUCUCUACUCGCCUUCGCUCUUCAAGUAUUAUGCUCCGUCCUUCAAGUCCGCGGGAAAA